rnacentral:rRNA from 1 species
UACAGAGGGGGCAAGCGUUGUUCGGAAUUAUUGGGCGUAAAGGGUGCGUAGGUGGGGAGGUAAGUCAGCGGUGAAAUCCCCGAGCUUAACUUGGGAACUGCCAUUGAUACUAUCUCUCUUGAAUAUCUUGGAGGUGAGCGGAAUAUGUCAUGUAGCGGUGAAAUGCUUAGAUAUGACAUAGAACACCAAUUGCGAAGGCAGCUCACUACACGGUAAUUGACACUGAGGCACGAAAGCGUGGGGAUCAAACAGG